rnacentral:rRNA from 1 species
GACGAACGCUGGCGGCGUGCUUAACACAUGCAAGUCGAACGGUGAAGCUCCAGCUUGCUGGAGUGGAUCAGUGGCGAACGGGUGAGUAACACGUGAGCAACCUGCCCCUGACUCUGGAAUAAGCGCUGGAAACGGCGUCUAAUACUGGAUACGAGAAGGGUCCGCAUGGGCACUUUCUGGAAAGUUUUUCGGUUGGGGAUGGGCUCGCGGCCUAUCAGCUUGUUGGUGAGGUAAUGGCUCACGAAGGUGACGAAGGGUAGCCGGCCUGGGAGGGCGACCGGCCACACUGGGACUGAGACACGGCCCAGACUCCUACGGGAGGCAGCAGUGGGGAAUAUUGCACAAUGGGCGAAAGCCUGAUGCAGCGAUGCCGCGUGAGGGAUGACGGCCUUCGGGUUGUAAACCUCUUUCAGCAGGGAAGAAGCGAAAGUGACGGUACCUGCAGAAGAAGCACCGGCUAACUACGUG